rnacentral:rRNA from 1 species
CGGCGACGUACGGGACGGGGGCGGCGGUAAGACGGAGGGGGCAAGCGUUGUCCGGAUUUAGUGGGCGUGAAGAGCGUGGAGGCGGCCAGGUAGGUCCGUUGGGAAAACUGGAGGCUUAACCUCCAGCUGUCGAUGGAAACCAUCUGGAUAGAGUCCGGAAGAGGAGAGUGGAAUUCCUGGUGUAGCGGUGAAAUGCGCAGAUAUCAGGAAGAACACCCGUGGCGAAGGCGGCUCUCUGGGACGGUACUGACGCUGAGACGCGAAAGCGUGGGGAGCGAACAGGAUUAGAUACCCUGAGUC